rnacentral:rRNA from 1 species
AUGAGGCAUAGAGCCAAGUUGGAGCUGUCGCCAACCUCUGGGAAAUCGCCACUUCCCCCUUGUCGAGGAUUUGCCGAAAGAAGGCCUAGCGGCGGCAUAGGGAUGGAGUUCCUGAUACAACCGAUUAGGAGGAACGUCGUGCUAGAAGAGGUUAACAACAAUGAGAUUCCAAUGGAGUCCUACCUAGCGGUGUCCACAAUAGCAGAUCAGCUGUCCCCCAUGGCGGCGGCCGGGGAAGCGCCUGGCUGGAAGGCAGAGUAUGAACCGCAAGCGUGCGAGCAGUCCAUUGAACAUAUAUUGACCCGAAAACUCCUGGAUGGACGUGAAGGGUCAAGAUCGGAGCUGCCACUCGUGGAAGGACGCCCUUGUGCUAGCCGCAAGAGUGCCCUGGAGAAGGCAAUACAUGGCUUCGCAAAGAAUCUUACAUUGUAA